ensembl:snoRNA SNORA70 Small nucleolar RNA SNORA70
AAGACCCUUCAGCUGCAAACAACAGCUUCCUUGGUAGUGUAUACAGCCUGUUUCUUGUAUGGGUUGCUCUAAGGGUCCGUGGAGACAGGC